rnacentral:tRNA from 1 species
AGAGGACUUAGCUUAAUUAAAGUAUUCGAUUUGCGUUCGAUUGAUGCAAGGUAGAGUCUUGUAGUUCUUA